rnacentral:lncRNA from 1 species
UUUAUUUAGGGUUUGAUUUAGGAUUUAGGAUUUGAUUUAGGAUUUAGUAUUUAUCUAAGACUUGGUUUAGGAUUUAGGAUUUAGAAUUUAAGAUUUAUCUAGGGUUUGAUUUUUAAUUUAGGAUUUAUUCAAGAUUUGAUUUAAGAUUUAAGAUUUAAGAUUUGUCCUAGGAUUUGAUUGAAGUCCAUUAGAGUUUUAAUUAGGGUUAAAU